UUGUUUUUGGUGUCUUUAUCAUGAAAUCUUUGCCUCUUUCUAUGUCCAGGAUGGUAUUGUCUAGGUUGUCUUCCAGAGCUUUUAUAGUUUUGGGUUUUACAUUUAAGUAUUUAAUCCAUCUUGAGUUGAUUUUUGUAUAUGGUAUAAGGAAGAAGUCCAACUUCAAUCUUCUGCAUAUGGCUAGCCAGUUAUCCCAGCACCAUUUAUUGAAUAGGGAAUCUUUUCCCCAUUGAUUGUUUUUGCCAGC
rnacentral:lncRNA from 1 species